rnacentral:tRNA from 1 species
GGAACUGUAGCACAAAUGGUUAGUGCGUCCAGCUCAUAACUGGGAUUAUGAUUUUGGGUUCGAGGCCCUCCAGUUCCA